UACGUAGGGUGCGAGCGUUUGUCCGGAAUUAUUGGGCGUAAAGAGCUCGUAGGCGGUGUGUCACGUCGUUCGUGAAAACCUGCAGCUUAACUGUGGGCGUGCGGUCGAUACGGGCAUCACUGGAGUUCGGCAGGGGAGACUGGAAUUCCUGGUGUAGCGGUGGAAUGCGCAGAUAUCAGGAGGAACACCGAUAGCGAAGGCAGCUCGCUGGGACGGUACUGACGCUGAGGUGCGAAAGCGUGGGGAGCGAACAGG
rnacentral:rRNA from 1 species